AACGAACGCUGGCGGCAUGCCUAACACAUGCAAGUCGAACGAGACCUUCGGGUCUAGUGGCGAACGGGUGCGUAACGCGUGGGAACCUGCCCUUAGGAUCGGAAUAACUCCCCGAAAGGGGUGCUAAUAACGGAUAAUGUCUUCGGACCAAAGAUUUAUCGGCUUUGGAUGGGCCCGCGUUGGAUUAGCUAGUGGGUAGGGUAAAAGCCUACCAAGGCGACGAUCCGUAGUUGGUCUGAGAGGAUGAUCAGCCAGACUGGGACUGGGACACGGCCCAGACUCCAGCGAGAAGUGGCAGUGAGUAAUAUAUGGCAGUGAGCGUGAGCCUGAGACAGCGAGGGCGGGUGAGUGGUGAAGGCGUUGUAGUUGUAUAGCGCUAUUACCCGAGAUGAUAGUGACAGUACCGGGAUAAGAAGCACCGGCUAACUCCGUG
rnacentral:rRNA from 1 species